AUCAGACUCCAAGGAGAGGCCAACAGAUGAGGGAGCCAUUUUUCUGCAAUGGAAUUAAAUGGCCAAGUGGGUUUUUCCUUUGUUGCAAAUGGGGAAUGCUUUUCCUUUGACUCCACCAUCCAGUUCAGGACGCCUGAAUGUGUUUAACAUUUGCCAAAGGACUCACACUUGGAAGAAUGAAGACCUUUUAAAAAGAUCUGGAUUUUUCCUUAUGACUUGGAAUCCAUCUUUGUCUUGUAUAACUAGGUCAUAGCACACUAUUAAUGUCAGCAGUUAACAGUUUUGAAUUCAAAAAAACCUAAAGCACUAAACAGCCCUCAGCGAAGCCGCCUUUUUGCCAGCCCAACCCUGGAAAGUUUGCAGUCGUGGAAGGAGCAGAAAUACCACGAGUGUAACUUACAAAGAAGGUCUUGGCCGGAGACCGGAGCCAUGUCUGUGUUAUCCCCACUGUAGACAAUCCUUGCUUCCUCUGGACAUCUGGAGCAGGCCCAAUUUGACUGAGAGCCUUCCCCCACUAAGUUACAGAUCCAGCCCCACCAUCACCACCAGAGUUGAGUCCAAAUCCAACACUCUAGGCCGGGUAGUGCUGGGACUUUGCCAGCCUCCUGCUGAGCCAGCCAGCCUCCUGGGUCGAGAGCCAAGCCAAAAGAUGUCUGAGAGAAGAAACCUGGGGUCCUGCAAAGCCCUCCUCCUCCCCCCCCCCCCCCUUCAGCCAGCACUUAGGCCCUCCCUGAUUUAGCCCGUUACCUUGACAACCACUUGGGCCUGUCUCCCUCAUCACCACUGAAAACCUGAAGGUGGUUUUCCAGCUGCGGUACAUUUGCCCAAGUUGGGCACCCCUCCAGCUUCUAUUGGCUCGCCCUCUAUACAGCUGUACCCAAUAUAACAAACACAACCUUCCUGGCCCCUCAGCUGUAGUCUCGAAAUUGAUCUCACUGGUCCCGGGAACUCCGUCAAUACUGCCUCCUCUAGACUGAGCUCCUCACAGGCAGGAACAUGGUUGUUUCUCAAUAAACAAGUUGCAAAAAAA
rnacentral:lncRNA from 1 species